UACGUAGGGGGGCAAGCGUUGUCCGGAUUUAUUGGGCGUAAAGAGCGUGUAGGCGGUUUGGUAGGUCCGCUGUGAAAAACUCGAGCUCAACCUCGAGACGCCGGUGGAAACCAUCAGACUAGAGUCCGGAAGAGGAGAGUGGAAUUCCUGGUGUAGCGGUGAAAUGCGCAGAUAUCAGGAAGAACACCCGUGGCUAAGGCGGCUCUCUAGUACGGUACUGACGCUGAGACGCGAAAGCGUGGGGAGCGAACAGG
rnacentral:rRNA from 1 species